rnacentral:rRNA from 1 species
GACGAACGCUGGCGGCGUGCCUAAUACAUGCAAGUCGAGCGGACUUUGUUGAAAGCUUGCUUUUAAAAGGUUAGCGGCGGGCGGGUGAGAAACACGUGGGCAACCUGCCUGUAAGACUGGGAUAACGCCGGGAAACCGGGCCUAAUACCCGAACGUUGUUUCCUCCGCAGGGAGGAAAAAGGAAAGGCCGCUUGGGCUGCCACUUACAGAAUGGCCCGCGGCGCAUUAGCUAGUUGGCGGGGGAAUGUCCCACCAAGGCAACGAUGCGUAGCCGACCUGAGAGGGUGAUAGGCCACGUUGGGACUGGGACACGGCCCAAACUCCUACGGGAGGCAGCAGUAGGGAAUCUUGCGCGAUGGACGAAAGUCUGACGGAGCAACGCCGCGUGAGUGAAGGAGGCCCUCGGGUCGUAAGAAUCUGUUGCCGGGGAAGUACAAGUGCCGUUCGAACAGAGCGGCGCAUUGACGGUACCCGACCAGAAAGCCACGGCUAACUACGUG